rnacentral:rRNA from 1 species
CGGUGUUCAACUGGCGUGUCCGCGGGACGUCCUGCCGGUGGGCUUAGCCCGCAAGGGCGGCCCAACUUCAAAUCCCAUCGCGGUGCUCUUCACUGAGUGUCGAGGUGGGCCGGCACGUUUACUUUGAACAAAUUAGAGUGCUUAAAGCAGGCUAAAACUUCGCCUGAAUACUGUGUGCAUGGAAUAAUGGAAUAGGACCUCGGUUCUAUUUUGUUGGUUUUCGGAACCCCGAGGUAAUGAUUAAUAGGAACGGAUGGGGGCAUUCGUAUUGCGACGUUAGAGGUGAAAUUCUUGGAUCGUCGCAAGACGGACAGAAGCGAAAGCAUUUGCCAAAAACGCUUUCAUUGAUCAAGAACGAAAGUUAGAGGUUCGAAGGCGAUCAGAUACCGCCCUAGUUCUAACCAUAAACGAUGCCAGCUAGCGAUCCGUCGACGUUCCUCCGAUGACUCGACGGGCAGCUUCCGGGAAACCAAAGCUUUUGGGUUCCGGGGGAAGUAUGGUUGCAAAGCUGAAACUUAAAGGAAUUGACGGAAGGGCACCACCAGGAGUGGAGCCUGCGGCUUAAUUUGACUCAACACGGGAAACCUCACCAGGCCCGGACACCGGAAGGAUUGACAGAUUGAGAGCUCUUUCUUGAUUCGGUGGGUGGUGGUGCAUGGCCGUUCUUAGUUGGUGGAGCGAUUUGUCUGGUUAAUUCUGAUAACGAACGAGACUCUAGCCUGCUAACUAGGCGUAUUUUCGACAUCUCAAAGGUCCGUCGUCCCGGCCCUCGGGUCGUGGGCGUGCGCGAUUUUUACUGUCGGCGUACUAUCAAUUCUUCUUAGAGGGACAGGUGGCUUCUAGCCGCACGAGAUUGAGCAAUAACAGGUCUGUGAUG